UCUUUCUUUUGCUGGCGACCGGCGCACGGGUGAGUAACACGUAUCCAACCUGCCCUUUACUCGGGGAUAGCCUUUCGAAAGAAAGAUUAAUACCCGAUAGUAUAAUGAUUCCGCAUGGUUUCAUUAUUAAAGGAUUCCGGUAAAGGAUGGGGAUGCGUUCCAUUGGUUGUUGGUGAGGUAACGGCUCACCAAGCCUUCGAUGGAUAGGGGUUCUGAGAGGAAGGUCCCCCACAUUGGAACUGAGACACGGUCCAA
rnacentral:rRNA from 1 species